GUGGGGUUCUGCCUCUCCUGCCCCUAUGGACGAGCUGCUACUGUUCACACUGUCCUCACUUUUGUGUGUCACCGAUCCCAAAAAUCAGAGGAAUCAGAGGUGGUACCGUAUCUGUGAUCUUCUACUGUGUAGGACUCAAAUUGUCUUCAGUGAACAUCAAGUGAGUUUCCAUUUCAGUUCCAGUGAUUUGAAGUUCAGGUUUUUGUUGUUUCUCGUGUUGUGUGAAAGCAGAAGUGAAUGUGAGCAGUGAGAAGGUUUUUGUCAUGG